GACAGAGGGUGCAAGCGUUACUCGGAAUAAUUGGGCGUAAAGGGCGUGUAGGUGGUAGUCCAGGUUUGAUGUGAAAGCUCUCGGCUCAACCGAGAAAGUGCAUCAAAUACCAGAUUGCUAGAGUUAAAGAGAGGGCUGUGGAAUUUCCGGUGUAGCGGUGAAAUGUGUAGAUAUCGGAAGGAACACCAGUGGCGAAGGCGGCAGCCUGGCUUUAUACUGACACUGAGGCGCGAAGGCGUGGGGAGCAAACAGG
rnacentral:rRNA from 1 species